rnacentral:rRNA from 1 species
AUUGAACGCUGGCGGCAGGCCUAACACAUGCAAGUCGAACGAGUGGCGGACGGGUGAGUAAUGUCUGGGAAACUGCCUGAUGGAGGGGGAUAACUACUGGAAACGGUAGCUAAUACCGCAUACCAUCAGAUGUGCCCAUAUGGGAUUAGCGUGUUGGUGGGGUAACGGCUCACCAAGGCGACGAUCCCUAGCUGGUCUGGGAGGAUGACGAGCCACACUGGAAAUGGGACACGGUCCAGACUCCUACGGGAGGGAAGAGGGGGGGAUGUUGGACAAAGGGCGGAAGCCUGGUAGAGGCAUGGCGCGUGUAUGAAGAAGGCCUUCGGGUUGGAAAGGACUUUCAGCGGGGAGGCGUUACCCGCAGAAGAAGCACCGGCUAACUCCGUGCCAGCAGCCGCGGUAAUUC